rnacentral:rRNA from 1 species
UACAGAGGGUGCGAGCGUUGUCCGGAAUCACUGGGCGUAAAGGGCGCGUAGGCGGCUUGAUAAGCGUGCGGUGAAAGCCCGGGGCUCAACCCCGGGUCGGCCGUGCGAACUGUCGAGCUGGAGCACUGUAGAGGCAGGUGGAAUUCCGGGUGUAGCGGUGGAAUGCGUAGAGAUCCGGAAGAACACCAGUGGCGAAGGCGACUUACUGGACACAUAUUGACGCUGAGGUGCGAAAGCGUGGGGAGCAAACAGG